GUACCUAAUUCAGCAGUUGCAUGACAUGAUCAUGACAUGUGUCUUGGAUAUAUUUAAUUCAUGUAAUAAUAAUUAGAAGUAAGGGUACUCAUGUGGACAAAAAUCAAAAGUGCUAGUACUCAGUACUGAGGGACGGGCCCAUUCAG